CAUGCAGUCGAACGAGAGAAGAGAAGCUUGCUUUUCUGAUCUAGUGGCGGACGGGUGAGUAACACGUGAGCAAUCUGCCUUUCAGAGGGGGAUACCGAUUGGAAACGAUCGUUAAUACCGCAUAACAUAAUUGAACCGCAUGAUUUGAUUAUCAAAGAUUUAUCGCUGAAAGAUGAGCUCGCGUCUGAUUAGCUAGUUGGUAAGGUAACGGCUUACCAAGGCGACGAUCAGUAGCCGGACUGAGAGGUUGAUCGGCCACAUUGGGACUGAGACACGGCCCAGACUCCUACGGGAGGCAGCAGUGGGGAAUAUUGCACAAUGGAGGAAACUCUGAUGCAGCGAUGCCGCGUGAGGGAAGAAGGUUUUAGGAUUGUAAACCUCUGUCUUCAGGGACGAAAAAAUGACGGUACCUGAGGAGGAAGCUCCGGCUAACUACGUGCCAGCAGCCGCGGUAAUACGUAGGGAGCGAGCGUUGUCCGGAAUUACUGGGUGUAAAGGGAGCGUAGGCGGGAUCGCAAGUCAGAUGUGAAAACUAUGGGCUUAACCCAUAAACUGCAUUUGAAACUGUGGUUCUUGAGUGAAGUAGAGGUAAGCGGAAUUCCUAGUGUAGCGGUGAAAUGCGUAGAUAUUAGGAGGAACAUCAGUGGCGAAGGCGGCUUACUGGGCUUUAACUGACGCUGAGGCUCGAAAGCGUGGGGAGCAAACAGGAUUAGAUACCCUGGUAGUCCACGCCGUAAACGAUGAUUACUAGGUGUGGGGGGACUGACCCCUUCCGUGCCGCAGCAAACGCAAUAAGUAAUCCACCUGGGGAGUACGACCGCAAGGCUGAAACUCAAAGGAAUUGACGGGGGCCCGCA
rnacentral:rRNA from 1 species